rnacentral:lncRNA from 1 species
GGGAACUCCACGCAGCUCUGAGCUAGGCCCUGGGGAUAAAGAAGGCUUUCGGACAUGAGGAGGGAAAGGCCACAGAGACUAGCCACUCAUGAUGAGACGCUGUGACCGCAGAAAGUCCAGGGCAGAGGAGGGUCUCUGAGCCUGCGGAACCACGGAAGGGAAGGAUUACCUUCGUUACAACUCUCAUUGACUUAUCUCUGGGCCAGGUCCUGUACAGGCCAUGGGAACCCUCAGGCAAUCCAUUACGACUUGAUGGUGAAAGGGCCGGGGAUUUAGCUCAGUGGUUCCGGUGCCUGCCUUGCAAGUGGAAGGUCCCAAGUUCGAUCCCCGUGCCUGUUUGCUAUCCCUGCCUUGGAGCCAGCCAGUUAUGGACUGAAACCUCUACAAACUGGAAAGGACUGCAUAAAGGUUUACGCACCUGGAGGCAGGAGGAAGGACUGACUUUGAGUCUGUCUGUCAGAACUAUCUCAAAAGCUCCCAGGAGGAGAGCUGCCUCCAAUGAAGAGGAGGUGAACCUUCCAGGCCACCAUACCACCACCCCCUAGUGCCGAUGAGGUCAGCUGCAUGGGCACCAGUAGCACACAUUCCUCCCCCCGACCCCGUUGCAAUGAGAAGGCACAUAAAUAAGUCUCAAAACCAGACUUCCAGAUCACCUAAAGCAACCCCAAAGGGCAAUGAGAUGAAACAAUCUGAUACUCAACCACCUGGACUCUCUGAACUGGCAACAAAAGAGGAUCUGGAAGUAAUGAAAUUAGAAAUAAUUUCUCAGAUAACAGUAGAGAUUGUGCCCAUAGUGCAAGACAUGAUUAAUAAAUCUAGACAGGACACAGAUAAAAAAAAAAUAGAGGAGCUGAGGAACAUGAUGGAAAACAUAGGAAAUAAAUGGAAUCCACAAAACAGAUGCAAACAGAUUUCCGGGAGAUUAAAAACUCCAUUGAGAGUUUACACAGCAGAAUGAGCUAAUGUGAGGACAGAAUUUCAGAUAUAGAAGAUAAGAUUGCAAUUAGUGACCAGGAAAAGAAAAAUUUCUUGGGCCAGUGAUUUAGCUCAGUG